GGUAGAGCACCUCCAUACAGUGAUGCUUGCCUGUGCACUGUUUCUCCCUGCUGGUCUUUGCCUGGUACUGGCAGUGCUGUGUGCGGUUCUGCAGCUUUCGUUGGGGACUGAGAAGGAGCGUUUCGUUCGGCGCGUUAGCCGCAGCGUGGGGUGCGGAGGCUAGCGGAAGCUGGGCGUCUGUGGGCUGCCUGUAGGGGGGCGGGGGUGUGGGGGCUGGUGGCUCAGGCGUGUUGCUGUUGCCUUUCGUUUCCUUCGCGUACGUGCCUGCGUGUGACAGCAGGGGCCUUCACCUUUCCCCCACAAAGCACAGAUCAAAUUUCAGACCAGCCGACUUACCGUAUUCACCGGGUGGUACUGGGUCAGUACCCCCAGGCUGUACUGGGUGGUACGGGGCCCGCACUGGGUCCAGACUGUCUCAUGGGUCCUAUUAGCUCUGUUGCUCCUGUGUCAGUACUUGGUCAGUACUUGAUCACUGCUGGGUCAUUACUUGAUCAAUGCUAGGUCAGUACGUGAUCACUGCUGGGUCAGUGUUGGGUCAGUACUUGGUCACUGCUAGGUCAAUGCUGGGUCAGUACUUGAUCACUGCAGGGUCAGUGCUGGGUCAGUACUUGAUCGCUGCUGGGUCAGUGCUGGGUCAGUACUUGAUCACUGCUGGGUCAGUGCUGGGUCAGUACUUGAUCACUGCUGGGUCAGUGCUGGGUCAGUACUUGAUCACUGCUGGGUCAGUGCUGGGUUAAUACUUGGUCAAUGUGAGGUUUAGAUUUAGUGGCUCUGGCCUCCUGCAGAUAGGGUGUUGCUUGAGAAGUGUUUUAAUGGGCUGGUGUGUGAAGUGCAGGUACGAUGGCGUACUGAUUCUGCAGUACGUAUAAUGCAGGCAGGUUCUUUAAGGGUCUCAGUGCAGACACAGUGGCGUAUUGAUUCUGCACUACGCAUAAUGCAGGCAGGUUCUUUAAGGGUCUCAGUUUCUCCCAUAGGCCGAGUGCAGAGCAGAGAGAAACCCCUUUCCUGUGGUGUUUCUGUGCUCCUCUGUCUGCGCUUCUGCAGAAUGAAACACUAAACCCUCUCUGCGUGCACACACGCGUCCUUAAAUACACACACAGACACCUCUUUAAGUGCACUCUCACAUGCGUGCACUCACUUUCACACACGCAGUAUGUACAGGCGUAGGUACAGGCAGAAGUAGCAAUGUGUAAUCACAUUUUGAUAGACGUUGAAAGUUUCACGGUGGACGAUUGCUCGCACAGCGGCCCUUACCGUAAACCCAGACCCAUGUCCCCCCCUGCCCGAUUCCCCCCAGCUCACAUACUGUAUGUAGUAUGAACACGGCUGCGAUACGGCGCCACGUGGACCAGGAAGUCGCCCAGCGUCUCUCCCCCUCUCACUCACUUCAGCAGUGCCAACGAUCGUACUGUCGCAGUUAUUAUUAUCGCCGUCGCUGUUGUCAUUUGUCAUUUUUUUAUGAUUGUGCAAAAAAAUCAUAACGACGAACUCCGCGCCGCGUUUCCCGCGUGGAGGCGGGUGGAGAAACGAAAAAAGUGCUAACCCGCACGCCCAUCCUUUCUCCCAUUGGAGAAGCCGCAGAUUACUGGCCGGUGUAAAUACUGCUCGGUGUGCGUGUGCGUGUGCGAGUGAGUGCGUGUGUGUGAGAGUGAGUGUGGAGGAGGGACGACGCUCAGCUCUGCCGAAUCUCUGCGCUUCUUCGCCCCCUGUUUUUGCGUUCGGUUUCGGCGGGACGCGCCCCGUCUCCGUACCCUGCCACCCCCGGGGCGGCGCUCCCCGGGUCCUGACCCCGCGCGCUCGAGGCACUCCUCCCGAAAACGCCGCCGGAAAGCCCUCAUUGGUGGGACCCGCCUCCCUCUCCUCUGGCGUCGGCGCCGCGUGCUUUCGGACCGGGACCCCGGCGUCGCCGAACCAAAUCACACUUUUUUUUUUUUUGUAGCGCCGACGCGCGGAGGACGCGCCGCCCCGGCUUCGUGUCCCCCCCGUUCUCCUUCACAGGCGAAGCCAGAACCUGAGCUCCCCUGGUCUCUUAACGCUGUCCUUAACUGGCUCUGCGGGCUGGGAUUGGAAGGUUGAAAUCUGUUCCGGUGACACGCCGCGGUCAGGCUUUGCCGGGAAGCCGACGGGCAAAAUUUAAUUGUGUGUGUGUGUCGCCGCUGCCUUCGCAAGCCUCUUGGCGGACGCGGCGGUCACGCUCGCCUCUGAUUCGCUGGCUGUCGGGAAGCGGAUUACCUCUUAAAAGAUCGGUACGGAUUUGAGUAAAACUUGGUGAGAAAGUUGCUAAGUGCCAAUUUUAAAUAAUCGAAGUGUAGUGAGAAAAAUGCAUGGACGGUUGCAUUUUUUGUUCAAAGUAGGUAUUGCUUCCUGGAUAUAUUAAGUGCUUUAUAUCCUAACGACAGCGUAACGGUUUAAGAAAUACAGUAAUAUGUGUGUCACCGGAGGCUAACUGAGGACAGUUUCCCUCAGAGGUGAUUUCUUCGCUGAGCCAGUUGGGUUUCCAUUAAGGAUCAAGGCCCUCAGCUCUGCUCUUCGUGCCCUGUGAAGGUGCGAUGCCAAACCCUUCCCUUGCCCGUAACGCACACCACACCCCUACACGCACAGAUCUUGACGCCGCGGUUCAGGAAGGCCUGCGAGCGGUCCGACGUGCGGUUCGACAGAGAGAGGGGGAGCCCUGCCUCCCUGUUUCCAGCGGAAUGCACCCAAUGGCGGUUUUCCGGUGGGGCCUUGAUGUUGAAACCUGCUCGUGUAUUUCUUCACAGUCGAGUGUAGUUGUGUGUACAGAUAUUUUUUUCUAUCGACGUUGACAUUUUUGCACAUUUUUUGAAGACUAUGAUUUGUACACUGAUUUAAUACUAUUUACUGAUGUAUGCUGGGCAUAUGGAAGUGCGUGUACAUGUGUGAGAUGUGUGUGUGUGUGUGUGUGUGUGUGCACUUUACUGUUUGUGUAAGAAAACGUUUGGCUGUAAUCCGCUUUGGUCAGGGUGCGCCGCGAGCUUGUUUUCCAUGGCUGAGAGCAGUGCACUCUGGGAGCUCCGCUGCCGGAACUCACAGGAACGUUACGUCUCAUCUUGACCUCCGGGUGGCGCUGGCUGACUGUAAUUCUUGCUGGUGCCCAGCAGCCCUCUUGCCUUGUGUUUAACGGUAGGACUGGAGAGCGAGGAGAGGAUGGAGCCAGUGUGAGUGUAGAGCUGGACAGGACUAUGUCUCCCCCACCUCUGGGCAGGGUCCUCCUCCCGCUGUCCCCCAGUCUUACAUCAGCAAAAUAGGCUGCGGUCACUCGACUUGUGUCGCUCACUCAAGUGGGUACCUUUGAAGCCCACGGUACCCUGUCUGCUUUCACUGUGGGGUCCUGAAUGCACUGUUGAAUGUCUCUGCUGUAACUGUGACUGUGCGUGUUCUACAUGCACAUGCGUGUGUUUGUGUACAUGAGUGUAUGUGUGAUUUGUGUGUGUACAUGAGUGUGUGUAUUUGUGAGUGAGUUUGUGCAUGUUUGUGUGCGUGUGUGUGUAUACAUGAGUGUGUGUGUAUGUACGUACAUGAGUGUGUGUGUUUGUGUGGGUGUAUGUACGUGUGUGUGUGUGUGUGUGUGUGUGUGUAUACUUGAAUGUGUGUGCGUGUGUGUGUGGGGUGUCCACCAUACUGCCUGUUCCCUGGACACUGCGCCCUAACCCUAAUGCGCAUUCUGACUGUAUGACUUUUAUGUAAAAAAAGAAAUUUGGGGGAAAAAAGAUGUACAAAUAUACAAAUUUAAGAUCUAAAUUUUUUUAAAGAAAACUAAACAACAAUUAACUGGUACAGAACAUAUCCCACACCGCUGUUCUGUUUAUCUAUUGUAAAAGAAGCCAUGUUUAUAUAUUUGGUUUGUGACCAAUAAGCCUGUUUAUAUCAAAUCUGUAUAUCGGUGGUACGCAUAUUUUUUUUAAUAUAUAUACUUUAUUUUUUGUUCUGUUUUUUAAGAUGUAAGAUUUUAUGCAUGAAGAGAGAGCGCUGUGAGGAAAAGACUGGACUCUUAUUGUCUGCAACUGGUUAGCCCCAGCAACUGUAGUGCCCCUAUCUCACCGUUUGGGAGAGGGGCUCCCCUAAAGUAGUGACAAUACCUUUGUGUUACCACUAGAUGGCAGAGAUUUUUAAAAAAAGCACUAAUAAGGGGAUCCACCAAAGCAGUCACAGUCCCUGGGUAGUACCCGUUGUUGUUCAUUAAUAAAGACUCCCGAUCCCUUUGUCGGUGAGAGGGUGGAGAUAGACAGUCAGCUUUAUUCUGGAGACUUGGAGAGUCCGAGACAGAUGGCACUUUGCAGAGUGUUAAUAAUAAUGAUAAUAAUGAUAAUAAAAGAUAUUUAUUUCAA